UGGUGGCAAAAAUUUUGAAAAUGUAUUUGUUUCUAUAAUUUCCAUCAACUUAACAAGUGAUAUCACAUUCUUUGUUAAGUUUAUAUGCCUAGUUUUGUUAGAUAAACAGGUUGGUUAUCUUAUAAUAAUCUGACAGUAGCCAAUACAAAAACCCGUCCAAGGAAGGACAGAACGGUAGCAUUUACAGUUGUCAACACAGCUGGAUUUUUUGC
rnacentral:lncRNA from 1 species